ACGGGAGAGGAAUAGGAGAAGGAGAAGUAAAGAGGGGAGAGAGUAAUAAUCUCCUCAUCCUUCACCACCAUUUGUUGUGCUAUUUCAACACCCAUCCAAAAAAGGGAUAAAAUGGAAAAAUAAAAUCUAAAGAUCCCUUUUCUAUCGGUUACAUAAGGGUUUGUUUUUUGCCUUUCCCUCCCCCCUCUUUCGAUAGAUGUUGACUCGGUGAGCCGACUCAUACCGUAACUCGACUUGACUCGACUCUCUCAUAUCUCUUUCUUUCUCGUUUGUUGUUUCCUUCUUUCUCUCCUCUGCUGCGUUUAUUUUGGGGUUUUUAGA
rnacentral:lncRNA from 1 species